AGGUGCUUAUCUCGAGCUUAAACUGCUCGACAUAAUCUAAUAUGUUCUUUAAAAAUUCUAAACAGAUCAUUCUGUUACUUUGCAUCCAGAAGGAAUAGUUCGAACGAAAUUUGCACCGAUUAACUACAGCUCUUCGAAACUGAAUUUGAAAUCGUUUGGAGUUUUCGUUCUAGCUGCCGGUUUGGAUUCCCAAAAUAUUUUCACUUUGAAGCCCGUUGCGUGGCCUUAUGCGAAAAGCGGAGAGCCUUAGCCUGGACCUGGCGUUCAGAAUUAGAUUCUUUUUCAACAAUCUUAGCACUGUUAAAGGUAGCAGACAAGGAAAUAGUGGAAACGUUCUAGAACUUAAAGUAUUGACUCAACUUCAUCACGUUCCUUGAAAAAGAUUCAAGUAUAUAGCAAGAAUAUUUCCCUCCAUCAAAAUAAACACAUCAGGUACAGCCUUUGAAAAAGCAAAUAAAACAGCCAAUAAGGACACGCCAGAGACAGACUACAAGAGUCGAAAACAUCAAAGUCCCCAAAAUGGGUCUCGGUUAUGAGUUUCCUCAAAAGAAGACGACCAAUGACAGGUCUGAGUCGUAUGGAGCCUGGGUAACAAAGUACAACAACGCACAAAAACAGUCGUUUAGCUGGAAAAGUUCCAAUGACGACAAAAAUUCAAAAGAGAAGAAAAGCAAUGGUCCGUGGGGACCCGUUUUUAAGGACAAAAAGAACUUUGUCGAUAUGCACUUUUGUUAAUAUUUUUUAUAAACGCAACAGAUCUUUUAGAAUAUAGUCAUGUUAGAUUUUAGAAUUUUUAUUGAAUAAAUUAUUUUAAUAAAUUGUAA